rnacentral:lncRNA from 11 species
CUUCCCAUCAACAAGGUGAAGUACCAUGGACUAUCUAAAACUCCUUCCCCUUUGUCCUUACUCAUUCCAGCCCUCUUUGUGUCUCACAGGCACCCCAUUUGGAGAAGCUGCUGAAACUGGCUGGGCCCUUGGCGUUGCUGAGAGCCAACAAGGUCCUUAAGAAAGGAGUGGUCAUCCCUGACCUCGUCGGCGCCAGUGUGAGGAAUCCCAAAAUCACCAUGCAUGAGGUAUUUGCCUAAAGACAAAGAGUG